GACCAUGGACGAUGACUAGAUCAUCAUUUGUUGGUACUGGUAAAUAUGCUACUAAAUGGAUGGGUGAUAAUGAAAGUAGAUGGUCCAAUCUACACUGGUGUAUUGUCAGCAUAAUGGAAUUUAGUAUGUUUGGGUUUUCUAUGAACGGUGUGGAUAUUUGUGGAUUUUGGUAUGAAGCAGAAUAUGAAAUGUGUUUAAGAUGGCACCAGUUAGGCGCGUUUUACCCAUUUGCCAGAAAUCAUAAUGGUAGAUGGAAGGAACAGAUAUUUAGGCAUCAAGAUCCAGCAUCGUGGGAUCAGCGUUUUGUAGAUAUAGUUAAACCAGUUCUUAUGACUAGAUACAGAUUGUUACCAUAUUUAUAUACUCUUAUGUAUAAAGCUCAUGAAGAAGGUCACAUGGUCAUGAAAGCUCUGCUGUUUGAAUUCCCAGCAGAUAGAAACACGUGGGCCAUAGAUAGACAGUUUUUAUUAGGACCAGCACUUCUUAUAUCACCAGCUCUAGAACCAAAUCAAACAGUUGUAGAAGCUUAUUUUCCUAAAGCUAGAUGGUAUGAAUAUAAUCAGUCGUAAGAAUCCAAUGGGUCUUAUAGUAGCACUCGACGAAGAUCACCUUUCUAAUGGUCAAUUAUUCUUGGACGAUGGGCAAAGUUUGGAAACAAGCAAGAAUAACAAAUCAACGAUUGUUCAAUUUAAAAUGGUGAAGGCAGGUGAAUUGUUGAUUGAGUCAGUUAUAAACAACUUUAAUGGAGCUGAUGAUUUAUAUAUAAAAACUAUAGAAAUUUACGGUUUAAAUAAAAUACCCGCUGAUGUACAAAACAACGAUGUACCUGUAGACGAUAGUAACAUCAGACAGUCUGGACAGAUUAUCCAGAUUCUGAAUCUCAACAUAAAGUUAACAGACAAAGCAUUGAUAACAUGGAGUAUAUACUGAAAUAUCCGAAUAUCCAGUUCGUCAAUUUACAUCUCACUAUAAAGAAUUUUUUAUUUUGUCUAGAUUAUCCAGAUUCUGAAUCUCAACAUAAAGUUAACAGACAAAGCAUUGAUAACAUGGA